AGCUCCAAUAGCGUAUACUAAAGUUGUUGCAGUUAAAAAGCUCGUAGUUGGAUUUCUGACAGGGGCGCAUGGUGGGGCCCGCAAGGGUCUCGACCGAUGUCAGUCUUUGUCAUCCUUGGGGAGAGCCGUGUUGCCAUUAACUUGGUAGUACGGGGAUCCUCAUCGUUUACUGUGAAAAAAUUAGAGUGUUCAAAGCAGGCUUAGGCCCUGAAUACAUUAGCAUGGAAUAAUAAGAUAGGACCUUGGUGGUCUAUUUUGUUGGUUUGCACGCCAAGGUAAUGAUUAAUAGGGAUAGUUGGGGGUAUUCGUAUUCAAUUGUCAGAGGUGAAAUUCUUGGAUUUAUGGAAGACGAACUACUGCGAAAGCAUUUACCAAGGAUGUUUUCA
rnacentral:rRNA from 1 species